UACGUAGGGUGCGAGCGUUAAUCGGAAUUACUGGGCGUAAAGAGUGCGCAGGCGGCCGCGCAAGUCGAGUGUGAAAGCCCCGGGCUUAACUUGGGAAUUGCGCUCGAAACUACGUGGCUGGAGUGUGGCAGAGGAAGGUGGAAUUCCAGGUGUAGCGGUGAAAUGCGCAGAUAUCAGGAGGAACACCGGUGGCGAAGGCGGGUCUCUGGGCCGAUACUGACGCUGAGGAGCGAAAGCGUGGGGAGCAAACAGG
rnacentral:rRNA from 1 species